rnacentral:lncRNA from 1 species
AUGGCCGACCAUAGCAAAAAUAAAGGAAGAAAAGAAAGAACAAGAACCCUAGGGUGAAAAUUUAAGAGAAAAUUGGUGGAUUUCAAGUAAUCAAGCAAUCAAAAGUAAAAUUUCUUGAUUUUGACUUGUGAUCUACCUUUUCCAUACAUUCUUUUGCAUUUUCCAUGGUUGAAUCACAAGAUAUCAUGAAGGAUAGUGUGUUGAUCAAACCCUAGGAGAGAGAAUUUGAUGAUGAUUUAGAUAGAUUUUUAAAAUAUAUGGAUGUUUUUAGUUGUUUAUGGUGUUAAGUGUAAGAAUUAAGCUUGAAAUUGACAUAUUCCUCAUGAGUUCAUCAUUGGCUGAAUCUUCCUUGUAGAGUGUUGAUGGUGGAUUUGAUUUUAUUUCAAGUGAAUUGGUUAAGAUAUGAUGAAUUAUGGUGAGAAAAUCAAGUAGGAAAAAUCAUAGUGUUGAUGCUCUCACUAUGGCUGAAAUUCUCAAGAAGAAAUGUGAGGAUGGUUUUGCUAAAUUUUAUGUUAUUUGACUUGUGUUUGAUGGUUUGGGGAAUUCGAAGAAAAAUGGAGUUAAUUGGAGUUAAAUUGGACGUAUUGGCCAAUUAAUCGGGUGAUAGAUCGAAUUAGGCCAAUACCAUUUUAUUUAGGUACACAAUUGAAUUUGUGUAGAACACCGUGUUUAAACGAUAAUCCGAACAAUUUGCAUUCCAUUUCAUGCAUUAGUAUAAAGCUCGAAUUGGUUUUAUAACAAUAUAGCACAAAUGUAGUAAAUGGCUUAUUGUGCAUUAUGUCUAGGUGGUGAGCUUUCUGGCAAAAUUAAAGAGAUAGUACCUGAGGAUCAAGAAUCGGAGUACUCAGAAUUUGACUCUUGAAAUAGUGAGUAACCUUACUAUCGUCUUAAUUAUCUAAAGUAGUUUUUAUUCGUUUUUGUGAAUUUUAUGGAAAAUGAGUUUAAAUGGUAAAUCUUUAUUUUUUAUAAACAAAAUGUGAUUAAAUGAAAUGAUUUUAUAAAAUUGUCUUGAAAUUGAAUGAUGGUUUUUAAAAUGGAGUAAUUGGAGACUAAUUGUUGUAUUGUAAAUUAUGGUUUGAAUUGAAUGGCUUAUGAAAUUUGGUAAAUGUGCUGAAAAGUAUGAACUGUUGAUUUGCCUUGAGAGGUUGUAAAACAAAAUAAUUACCAUGUCAUGCUGUUGAAUUUUAUUGAAUUGGUGGGUUAUAUAUUGGUAGCUGCAAUGGACGGGUUCUGUGGACCAGCCUAUUAGAGGGGCACGGUAACCCCAUUAUAUUCUUACCUCGAUCGGAGAGGCGUGUAGGGUAACUCUUGAGGUACAACUUUAGAGUUCACUUCACGCCAAACCACCACGUAAGGGUGAACUCAGCCAACGCCAAGGAACGACUAUGUUUUCAAAAUAAAAACAUGAUUUAUGCGUACAUGACUUUUUAAUAGCCUUGGCGGACUCGGUUUGUCACGACCCGGUAUUCCCCUCGAGCCCGUGACAACCGUCGCGGUGUCCCGGUAGACACUUAUUGCCCGAAAUGUCAACCCGAAAUCCCGCAAGGCUUUACUAUCAGUUUCUCUGUUCCCUUGUGAGCAACCAUUGUCAAAUAUCGUGUUCUAAAAGAUUUUAAGCUGUUUCCAACUUUAAACAAAUAAAAUAUUAAUUUUUCGUCUCACAGGGAUAAUUUGGUCAUUUUUCUCAAAAAUUUUGAAACUGGCUAAAACGUAAUAUACAAGUACAAAACACACAAUUCAUAUUCAAAAAUGAGUUUAAAAGUCUAAAAUCUUCAUUUAAAACGAAAUUAUGGUUAUUUGAAUAUAAUAAGAAAAUAAAAGAAAUAUUAAGUAAAAUAUUCUAUUUUCUUAUAAAACAAUAUUUAUAGAGUUAUACGUGAAUAAUUUUUAUAACGUAAAAGCUAAAUAAAUUUAUACAUACUUAAAUACAGUAAGCCAAAAUAUUUAAUUUAAUUUACAAUAACAAGAGUGCCCCCGAAUAAACAAAAGUAAAGAGGACUGUGAACCUACGGUUUGGAAAAUGCAGAUCCCACUGUAGUCCUCGAUGAGAUCAGCUAUCUACAGUCUAUACUGAACCUGAAAUGGGUGGAAAGGAGGGUGGUGAGAUUAUAAAAUCCCAAUGAGUAAACAAACAUCAUCAUAAACAUCUAGAGUUGAGUACAUGGAGACAAUAAAGUAAAUCAUCAUAAACUGGGUUAUAGCAUUAGAACACAUUUUGUUCAAAACACGUAAAGAGGCUUAUGAAUCUCAUAAAAAUCUAGGCUUGUGCCAUAAAUCCAUUCUCGGGGACACCUUGGCCGAGGCAUCCUACCGAGACCGCCAAGGCUAUUAAAAUUCACAUUUCACAUAAAUCAUGUUUUUGUUUUGAAAACAUAGCCGUUCCUUGGCGUUGGCUGAGUUCCCCCUCACGUGGUGGUUUAGCGUGAAGUGAACCCUAAACUUUACCCCAGGAGAUACCCUACGCGCCUCUCCGUUCGAGGUAAGAAUAUAAUGGGGUUUACCGUGCCCCUCUAAAAGGCUGGUCCACAGAAACCCCCUACUGCAGUGAUUAAUUAAUAUAUAAUCCACCAUAUAAUAAAACUCAAUAACAUGAUAUGGCAAUUUUGUAAUUCGUAGUUUUUCAAGGUAACCAAACAAUUCGCAUUUCAAUACAAUUGCCAACUAGCCAAUCAUGCUCGAUUUAUCAUAAGCCAGUUAAUUUAAACAAUCAAAUUGCCACAAUUAACAGUCUCCGUGUACUCUAUUUUUCAAAAUCACUAUUAAUUUCAAAACAAUUUAUAAUUUAAUUUCAUUGAAACUCAUUUAUUCAUAAAACAUGAAAAUUUAUCUUUUUAAAUUCCUUUUUCCAUAGAAUUCAUGAAAGCAUCUAAAAACCACCCUAGAUAAUUAAAAUGACAGUAAGUUUACUCACAAUGUCUAGAAUGCAGACUUUCGAAGCACUCUGUCUACUGGUCCUCGGAUGCAAUUUCCUUGCCUUUAUCGGAGGACUCACCACCUUGACACAGUACAAAAUCGAGAGUUUCACCAAGUUGGUACUAAAUCAAAAUUAAACUAAUUUAGACUACCAAUGCAUGAUAUGGAAUGCAAAAAUGCACUGGUAACUAUCUAAACCCGGUAUUGGCCUAAUUCGUCUUAUCACCCGAUUAAAUUCCUAACGGGUCCGUUUAAACUCCAAUUUAAUUCUUUUCAGUUUCUAUACCUCAAUUGCACCCAAAUUAACUUAAUGUCCCUCAGUGUGGUGCAAAUUAUCAGUCCCAACAGCAAAUUACGAAAAUACCCCUAGUGGGUAAAAAUUCGUAUUUUUGCUCCGAAAAUUCCCAUUAUUUUUCUAGGCUCAUAAUUCAUUAUUCCUUAACCAAUUCUCCUAGAAUAAAAUCAAACUCAUCCUCACUCACUACAUGGUAAAUUCAGCCAUUAAUGGUUGGGGGAGAAAAUAAAUUCUUUUCUUGUUGUUUUGUUUCUAAAUAUGCUAAACUAACUAAAAACACUAACAUAAAUUAAAAUCAAAUAAAUCCAACAACUUUCUCUCUCCUAACCCAUUUUUUCAGAAUUGAAUUCAUCAUGAAAACAUGUAAUUUAAUCAUGGAAAAUAAAGAGAAAUGCUUGGGAAUAAGAAAACUCAAGCUUAAUAAAAAAAACUCACCUUUUUCACUUAAUUUCCUUGAAAAUUCACACUUUUUCUUUGAUUUUCUCUCUCUAGGGUUUUGUUUUUGUUUUCUCUCUCUUCUUGCUGGUUUGGCCGGCCAUGGGGUGGAAGAUGGGCUGAUUUUGUGCCUUUUAAAAAGGAAAAUAAUAAAUUAAUAAAGGCAUGACACAUGGCAUCAUGUCAUUGGCCCGUUUUUAAAAUUUUAAAAAUUUAAACAUUUUAUCUCCACCACAUGUUUAGUCAAGGGUCAAAGAUGAAGACAAAGGAAGACCAUGUGCUGGAAAAAAUAACCUGGUGGUGGAAAAUUACAAUUUUGCCCCUGAGGUGGCAAAAUUACCAUUUUACCCCUAUACUCCAAAUUAUACCGAAAUUAAAAUUUUUCACUUCUAAACCUCAAAUCAUACUUCAAUAAGUCAAAAUAUACUCUAAUAAGUCAAAUGGCGCCAAAAAAUUCUUUUUUAAAAUUCCCAUUUUGUCCCCAAGUGGCAAAUGACCAUUUUGCCCCUAGUUACUGAAAAUUCCGAUUUGACUCCAAAUUGAUCCUCAAACUCCAAAUUACCAUUUUAAGUUAUCCAUGAACUGUGAAACUCUUAAUCUCACCUUAAAAUUCCUAUUUGAUCUAGUUCGAGGAUUAAAUAAACUUUGUUGUACCUCUAGGUACAAUACCGACUUUUGUAAAUUUUUCGGGACUCUCCUAGCAUGCAAUCAUGCUAUCAUCACAUGUAAGUCAUGAAUAGUAUUUUAUAAGGUCGGGCUUUACACGGUUGGGAUAGCCCCAGGCCAAGGUAUCCCUGAUAACUGAGUAUAAGAAUGAUUUUGGCACGAGCCAAAGUUUUAAGAAAUUCAUAAGCCAUGUUGAUUACUCAAUUUAUAUGAAUUGAUUUUAUUUGGUUGAAAUGAGUUGAAAGGUGAUGAAUUACAAUAUGAUGAUCUAUUUUAAUCUGUCUUCAUUUACUUAGUUUUAGAUAUUUUAGAUGGUAUUUAUUUACUCACUAAGAUUAUAUAAUCUCACCACCCUCCUUUCCACCCAUUUCAGGCUCAGGAUAGUCGGUAGAUAGCUCACUUUGUUGAGGGCUACUGUUAGACUUGCAUCCUAAAAAAUUGUAAGUUUACCGCUUUUGAUAGUUUUGGUCGUUCGUGGGCCCACGUGUCA